UACGUAGGGGCUAGCGUUAUCCGGAUUUACUGGGCGUAAAGGGUGCGUAGGCGGUCUUUCAAGUCAGGGGUGAAAGGCUACGGCUCAACCGUAGUAAGCUCUUGAAACUGUAAGACUUGAGUGCAGGAGAGGAGAGUGGAAUUCCUAGUGUAGCGGUGAAAUGCGUAGAUAUUAGGAGGAACACCAGUUGCGAAGGCGGCUCUCUGGACUGUAACUGACGCUGAGGCACGAAAGCGUGGGGAGCAAACAGGAUUAGAUACCCCUGUAGUCCCUGA
rnacentral:rRNA from 1 species